rnacentral:rRNA from 1 species
UACGUAGGGCGCAAGCGUUGUCCGGAAUUAUUGGGCGUAAAGAGCUCGUAGGCGGUUUGUCGCGUCUGCUGUGAAAACCUGAGGCUCAACCUCGGGCUUGCAGUGGGUACGGGCAGACUAGAGUGCGGUAGGGGGUGACUGGAAUUCCUGGUGUAGCGGUGGAAUGCGCAGAUAUCAGGAGGAACACCGAUGGCGAAGGCAGGUCACUGGGCCGCAACUGACGCU